GUCACAGUCUCAGCUCACUGUAACCUCCGCCUCCAGGUCUCAAGCGAUUUUCCUGCCUUAGCCUCCCUAGUAGCUGGGACUAUAGGCAGGCACCACCACACCAGCUAAUUUUUGUAUUUUUAAUAGAGAUGGGGUUUCUCCAUAUUGACCAGUCUGGUCAGAAAGCUCAACACAUAGUUGCCCUCCCGUUAAGACCCAGGGCCUUUCAGCAGGUCCCAGUAUUCACACGCGCACACCCCGACCCAAUCCCACAGAGACAGGUGACCCCAGACUCAGCAAAUGAGUCACAAUCUUAGACUCACAGCAUCAAAAUCAAGAAGUCAAGGCUGAAGAGAGCUGUGAUCACGCCACUGCACUCCAGCCUGGGCGACAGGGCAAGACCCUGUCUCUAAAAAAAAUUUUUUUUAAUCAUGGAGAGACCAGGAUUCUUCCCAAUCACAGACACGCCAGAUGUCUCAACACCAUGUGCCUUCCUGCUCUGAGACACACCCGCCCUCCUUCUGGAGUAAGACUCAUGCUAGGCCACGGAGUUGCAUCGUCGGCCUCCUCUCUCCUCCGAUGUUCAUGGAAACAUCCAGUCACUCUCUCACCAUGCCAUUCUCUGUCUUCUCAAGCACCACACGGAGCUGUCCAGAAUGUACUUAAGAAGGAGGCCGAGCUUCCUGCAGGUUGAGAGUGGGGCUUCCUCCCCACCUCCCUCCCCGGAGCCCCCC
rnacentral:lncRNA from 10 species